GACAGAGGGUGCAAGCGUUGUUCGGAAUUAUUGGGCGUAAAGGGCGCGUAGGCGGCUAUAUAAGUCAUUUGUGAAAGCCCGGGGCUUAACCCCGGAAGUGCAAGUGAUACUGUGUAGCUUGAGUCUCGGAGAGGGUGGUGGAAUUCCCAGUGUAGAGGUGAAAUUCGUAGAUAUUGGGAGGAACACCGGUGGCGAAGGCGACCACCUGGACGAAGACUGACGCUGAGGCGCGAAAGCGUGGGGAGCAAACAGG
rnacentral:rRNA from 1 species